GACGAACGCUGGCGGCGUGCUUAACACAUGCGAGUCGAACGGAAAGGCCUCUUUCGGGGGGUACUCGAGUGGCGAACGGGUGAGUAACACGUGAGUAACCUGCCCUUGACUUUGGGAUAACUUCUGGAAACUGGGGCUAAUACCGGAUAGGAGCUCCUGCUGCAUGGUGGGGGUUGGAAAGUUUCGGCGGUUGGGGAUGGACUCGCGGCUUAUCAGCUUGUUGGUGGGGUAGUGGCUUACCAAGGCUUUGACGGGUAGCCGGCCUGAGAGGGUGACCGGCCACAUUGGGACUGAGAUACGGCCCAGACUCCUACGGGAGGCAGCAGUGGGGAAUAUUGCACAAUGGGUGGAAGCCUGAUGCAGCAACGCCGUGUGCGGGAUGACGGCCUUCGGGUUGUAAACCGCUUUCGCUCAUGACGAAGCUUUGUGUGACGGUAGUGGGUAAAGAAGCACCGGCUAACUACGUG
rnacentral:rRNA from 1 species